CGGGCACUUAAACGUCUGAUAUACGAUAAUCGGAUGGCAUUUGUUAACAACUAAGAUAUUCUACAACUGGCACUAGAGUUCGUUCCUAAACCUUAUCAUCGCCGGUUAUCGAGCACUGGUCUAUACCUUACCUGUCUCCCGGGCACACACACAAUUGAUUCACUAUGGUACCAGCGUUAACCUCUUAUAGCUUAGCAGCUUAAGUUGCGAUUCUAGGAGUUUCUGUUCCAACUCUAUCAGCAUUAGUUCCGGUGGCAAAGCACGGGUCUAAGUCUAACAGCUUUUCCUCCCGGGUAAUCAUCUUUAGUACCAUCAAUCAGCUAAUCCGCUUCUCUUCCUACCGGGCACAACUGCUACAAAACCUCUUGGUACGCUACUGAGAGAUAAGAAGCUUCAGUAGCUGCCUAAGUGCGCCUUACCUUCCCGUACAAUCACUGGCAUAGGGAUUCGGUACCUGUCUCUUUCCCGUAUACAGCAUCAAAAGGAACUGCCCUUCCCGUAGUAGUAUGACUCUUCGGUCCUGGUAUUGCAGUAUGCCUAGCAGCCUUAGCGGUCGAAGGAAGAAGCGAUUAAGGCGACGCUGCUAUUGAAGCUACUCUUCCAACUCCCGGGUACUUAACGGCUUCAACUGCGGUAGUCGC